rnacentral:rRNA from 1 species
AUUGAACGCUGGCGGCAGGCCUAACACAUGCAAGUCGAGCGGAUGAAGGGAGCUUGCUCCUGGAUUCAGCGGCGGACGGGUGAGUAAUGCCUAGGAAUCUGCCUGGUAGUGGGGAUAACGUCCGGAAACGGGCGCUAAUACUGCAUACGUCCUGAGGGAGAAAGUGGGGGAUCUUCGGACCUCACGCUAUCAGAUGAGCCUAGGUCGGAUUAGCUAGUUGGUGGGGUAAAGGCCUACCAAGGCGACGAUCCGUAACUGGUCUGAGAGGAUGAUCAGUCACACUGGAACUGAGACACGGUCCAGACUCCUACGGGAGGCAGCAGUGGGGAAUAUUGGACAAUGGGCGAAAGCCUGAUCCAGCCAUGCCGCGUGUGUGAAGAAGGUCUUCGGAUUGUAAAGCGCUUUAGGUUGGGAGGAAGGGCAGUAAGUUAAUACCUUGCUGUUUUGACGUUACCAACAGAAUAAGCACCGGCUAACUUCGUG